UUAAACCCGCGCGCCCGCAGCAGCCUGGCCCUCCUCUGUCUCACCGCUGCCUCAGAUCCGUUUGCCGUUCGCAUUCCAGGCAGGAGACGCUUCCUUCCUCCUCCCCCCACCCACAGCGCAUGCUCCAGCCCGCCAACAGAACCCGCACGCUUGCAGCAGUCUGCCUCGCGGCCGCCUCAAGUCCAUUUGCCGUCAAAUCCAUUUGCCGCUCGCCCCCCCCCCCCCCUUCCACAGCAUACCGCCUGGCCCUCUGCGCAGCCUGCACUAGCCAGCUCUUCUUGAGAAGACACGAGGCCCUCCACCUCUCCCAGGACGCCUCCACACCCUGCUUUGAAUUAAGGAAGCGAGAGGGAUAAAUUUGCACCCUGCCUUUUCCUUCUCUCUUUUGGAGAUCAUAUAUCAUGCUGUAGAAUCAUUUUUGCCACCACCACAAGAGUUGCUGGUAGGAGGUAUUCCACCAUAGUGGCAACUCUAUGUGGAAUCCCCAACAAUGGUAAAAUGCAUGGAUUUUUGGUUUGCUUGCAGCGCAAAAUGCAUUUACAUGGCAAUUUAUAUUGAACAAGUUUCCUUGUCCCUGAGCAACAUGUUUUUUAAAAUUUCCUAAAUAAUUAUGACUUUGUCAUUGUGUUGAUCUCUCAUAUACUGUUUUAAUGGAAGCUUGCACUGCUACAUUGUAACAUUUUGAUGUGUUUUGCAAGCCAUUCAUGGCCCUGUUACUAGCACACUGAACUAUAGUGCAAGAAGAUUUAAGCUUUUUAAUGUGAAUAUUGUAUUUACCUCUGCUCACAAAGGUAUUUUAUUACUUGUUAGAAUUCUUUUCACAUAAUUCCAUUUUGAACUCAGUAGGUAGUUAAGUAGUGUUAGGUAGGGAUAAAGACCUAGGGUACAUAGUGAUAAUUUCAGGCAAAUUAUAGGCAAAGCAUUUUAAGGGCAAACUCUGUCCUCCUGUAGUUAUACUCUACAUCACCUGACCAUCCAGCCUGCAUUCACAGACUAUCCCUGUUUCUGGAUAUCCACAAUCACAGCAACAGGCAGAGUGAUAUUUAGGCUGAUAGCAACACAAAAUGUACUCAGAAGUUAUCAUACUUGUUUCCUAAAAUGAUCUGUGGACCUACAUGCUUAAAGCCAGGAAGAAAAAGAGAUGAUUUGUCUGUCUCCCUCUAUCACUGCAUUCUACUUAUGGGUGAAGACUUUGUUUGGCACUCCACUAUUAUUAGCCUUUCUCCCUGUUUGUAUGUCUAUGUGGUCGUAGGCAACUUCGCAGAGUGGUGCUAAACCAGAGCCUGGUUCGUAGAUCACUUGAUGGGUGUCAGAAUCUUUUCAUGGUUUGGAUGUGUGAAUGCCCUACCACAGAUAAAAUGCCACCAAUGUAUUUUUGAAACUUUUCAGUGAGGUGCUCCUUUAAGGUGGCAGAGAUCAGACAUACAAUUUUUCCCUGCAACUUCUGACUUCAGUGCUAUUAAGACAGGAACCAAAACUGUAAACACUAACUUCUCUACCUGAUGUAUCUGGCCUAGUCUCAUUUCAUCUCAAUCAGAAUGCCUGUAAAGGAGGGAAGUUUGCACAGUUGAGACUCAUCAGGUAAUGAAAAUCAUGUACUUGUCAUGUACUUGUCAAACAUCAGACAUGUAAUAGCAAUGGAAGUAUCAUCCUUCAUAACUUGGGGAGUAGAUUUUCAUUGGCAAAUAUGAAACUGGACCAUUUUUAAAUGAUCUGGCAUACAGCCUUUUUCAGACAUUACAUUUGAUGUAUCCAACUAACUAUUCAAGGGUGCACAAGCUACUCAUGAUCAUCCUGAAACUUGCAGUCACCAUAUUGUCAGAAAUGGGCCUGAAAACAGUUUUAAGUUUUUUUGAUGUUUUCAGACAAAAUGGUGACCACAUAGAUCAGAAGGAUUGCAGGUAAAGCAUACUUCUAAAUAUAACAUCUGAAAAAAGGUUAUCUCCUCUGCAACCUUCCUUUGUUUUCAGAAACAAUAGAAAGAUACUAACUUAGAUAUCAAAGGGAAUAGGGGGAAAAGGAAAUGAAAACCUAGCAAAAGGCAUGUUUGUAUUAAUAUAAGAAUUUUGCUCUGCAAAUAAAGGCAGUCUAGAGACUCUGAGCUAUAGUCCAACAGAUUUACAUUAAAUAUUUGGUAUGUGCACUCUGCUGUUAAUUAAAUCUUUAAUUUUGUUUUUUCUAAAUGAACUCUUGCUGCUUUUUAAUUGGUCCCCUCUUUGAAAAAGUCUCUAAAAGGAAAAAAGAAAAGAGAGGAUGCAAUAAGAGAAUUUAUAUUCCAACUAGAUGUAGUUAUUUUGUUAUGCUGAUAUACAUGUGGGAGGGAAGGAAGCCUGGCAUAGCCCAAUCUUGUCAGAAUUUGGAAGCUAAGCUGGGUCAGUGAAGAGAAGGGAGCACACCAAGGAAGACUCUAUAAGCAUGGAUAGAUAAUAAGUGAGGGAGGGAACACUAAAGGAAAACAAUGGCCACAAAUCAGAAACAACUCAAGGAAUACAAGGGUAGAAUACUAUAUGUAAUGUAUAUAAAUACCUGAUUUCCAGGCUGUUGAUCCCAGGCCCUAGGUUCGUGUAUUGUAAUGACAAUCUAACAGUUGCAGAGAGGCAAAAAUGAAAAAAAAUGUUGUACCAUUUUCAAAUGAAAGCUUUCCCAUUCAGUAGAGAUUGAAUUAUCUAAUUGAGUAGGUAAAUACAAUAAACAGACACAGUGAAAAAACAGUAAAUGAGCAAAUAUGUUGAAACCAUGUUUAAGACAAUACUAUCAUCCACUCGGAAAACAAAAGAGAAAAAUAUUUCCUGGGGAGACCUUGAUCUAUGAAGAUGUUUAUUGCUCAUUUCAGUCAUAACACUGGAUUUCCUGAAAAGAGAUCUUACCAUAGAAAGUAUUAUGAUAGCAAUGGUGUUCGGUAGUGGGGAAAAGAAAGAGGCAUAAGGAAAAUGAAAGUGUUGCAGAGAAAGUGGAAAUAUGAAAAGCAGACAUCUGCAUGCACCAAAGUCAUGUAUAAAUAUUCCCUUUGAAAUGAACAAAGAAAAAAAGACAAAUGACAGAGCCAGGAUGCACUUCACACAAGGCUGGUCAUAAAUUGAACAACUACAAGCUUUAUGCAGUUAUCAUGGAAGUCCUGAAUUUGAAAUUUAUAGAGAAAUAAAAGACUUUGAACGUGG